UACGUAGGGUGCAAGCGUUUGUCCGGAAUUAUUGGGCGUAAAGAGCUCGUAGGCGGCUUGUCGCGUCGGCUGUGAAAACCUGGGGGCUCAACCCCGGGCCUGCAGCCGAUACGGGCAAGCUAGAAUUCGGUAGGGGAGACUGGAAUUCCCGGUGUAGCGGUGAAAUGCGCAGAUAUCAGGAGGAACACCGGUGGCGAAGGCGGGGUCUCUGGGCCGAUAUUGACGCUGAGGAGCGAAAGCGUGGGGGAGCAAACAGG
rnacentral:rRNA from 1 species